GGGGAAUAUUGCGCAAUGGGCGAAAGCCUGACGCAGCGACGCCGCGUGAGGGAUGAAGGCCUUCGGGUCGUAAACCUCUGUCAGGAGGGAAGAACCGCCAUGGUGCUAAUCAGCCAUGGUCUGACGGUACCUCCAAAGGAAGCACCGGCUAACUCCGUGCCAGCAGCCGCGGUAAUACGGAGGGUGCAAGCGUUAAUCGGAAUCACUGGGCGUAAAGCGCACGUAGGCUGUUUGGUAAGUCAGGGGUGAAAUCCCGCGGCUCAACCGUAGUAAGCAUUUGAAACUGCAGGGCUUGAGUGCAGGAGAGGAGAGUGGAAUUCCUAGUGUAGCGGUGAAAUGCGUAGAUAUUAGGAGGAACACCAGUGGCGAAGGCGACUCUCUGGACUGUAACUGACGCUGAGGCACGAAAGCGUGGGGAGCAAACA
rnacentral:rRNA from 1 species